ACGGGAGGCAGCAGUAGGGAAUAUUGCACAAUGGGGGAAACCCUGAUGCAGCGACGCCGCGUGAGUGAUGAAGUAUUUCGGUACGUAAAGCUCUAUCAGCAGGGAAGAUAAUGACGGUACCUGCAUAAGAAGCCCCGGCUAACUACGUGCCAGCAGCCGCGGUAAUACGUAGGGGGCAAGCGUUAUCCGGAUUUACUGGGUGUAAAGGGAGUGUAGGUGGUCUGGCAAGUCAGAUGUGAAAGCCCGCGGCUCAACCGCGGGACUGCAUUUGAAACUGUCAGACUGGAGUGCAGGAGAGGAAAGUGGAAUUCCUAGUGUAGCGGUGAAAUGCGUAGAUAUUAGGAAGAACACCAGUGGCGAAGGCGAUCUACUGGACGAUAACUGACGCUGAGGCGCGAAAGCGUGGGGAGCAAACAGGAUUAGAUACCCUGGUA
rnacentral:rRNA from 1 species